CGGGAGCGGCAGACGGGAUAGUAACACGUGGGAACGUACCCUUCAGUUCGGAACAACCCAGGGGAACUUGGGCUAAUACCGAAUACGUCCGUAAGGAGAAAGAUUUAUCGCUGAAGGAUCGGCCCGCGUCUGAUUAGCUAGUUGGUGAGGUAACGGCUCACCAAGGCGACGAUCAGUAGCUGGUCUGAGAGGAUGAUCAGCAUCACUGGGACUGAGACACGGCCCAG
rnacentral:rRNA from 1 species